rnacentral:tRNA from 1 species
GGGGCUAUAGCUCAGCUGGGUAGCUCAGCUGGGAGAGCGCUUGCAUGGCAUGCAAGAGGUCAGCGGUUCGAUCCCGCUUAGCUCCACCA